AGAGCUGUGGCUCAGCAGUAGAGUAUCUGCCUAGCAAGCUCAAGGCCCUGAGUUCAAACCUCAGUAACCUUC
rnacentral:tRNA from 1 species